UGGAUCAUCUUUAUUUUCGAAUCCGACCGUUGGAUCGUCUUUAUUUUAGAAUCCGACCAUUGGAUUGUAGUAUUUGUGUGGUUUAUGAAUGAUUUGCUAAGUUAAGAUCGUAUCUGAUUAGGUGAUUGACGGUUUGAGUUGGUGGACGAUUGUGAAUCGUUGUUUGAGCUGUUAAGAAGACGCAGCUGGAUUAAAGCGGGUAAUCCUGCAGGUUAGGAGAAUCAGGGCGUGAUCGUGCGGGUUAGAGUAAUUGUUAUAGUUUUACAGUGAUUGUAAUAGUGAGGUGAGUUAAGCUCAAUUGAGCCUUACAAUUUGAUUUGAUGAGAGUGUGCUGUAAUAAUUAACUGGAGAAAUUGGUUUAUUGUAUUAUUGAGAGGUGUGAAGUGUGGUUGUUUUGAGAAAAAAAUUUAGGAUGUUUAUUUGUAA